rnacentral:tRNA from 3 species
GCGCCCGUAGCUCAGCUGGAUAGAGCAACGCCCUUCUAAGGCGUUGGUCGAAGGUUCGAAUCCUUCCGGGUGCG